rnacentral:rRNA from 1 species
GAUGAACGCUGGCGGCGUGCCUAAUACAUGCAAGUCGAACGCAUAGCGAAAGGUGCUUCCACCUUUCAAGUGAGUGGCGAACGGGUGAGUAACACGUGGACAACCUGCCUCAAGGCUGGGGAUAACAUUUGGAAACAGAUGCUAAUACCGAAUAAAACUUAGUGUCGCAUGACACAAAGUUAAAAGGCGCUUCGGCGUCACCUAGAGAUGGAUCCGCGGUGCAUUAGUUAGUUGGUGGGGUAAAGGCCUACCAAGACAAUGAUGCAUAGCCGAGUUGAGAGACCGAUCGGCCACAUUGGGACUGAGACACGGCCCAAACUCCUACGGGAGGCUGCAGUAGGGAAUCUUCCACAAUGGGCGAAAGCCUGAUGGAGCAACGCCGCGUGUGUGAUGAAGGCUUUCGGGUCGUAAAGCACUGUUGUAUGGGAAGAACAGCUAGAAUAGGAAAUGAUUUUAGUUUGACGGUACCAUACCAGAAAGGGACGGCUAAAUACGUG